UCCUGCAUCGAAAGUGAUUGUGGGCUGCCCGUGCCCUGGUCAUCGAUACUGCAGGGAGAGGAGUCUCUGAAAGACCUUUCCCCGUGUUUGAAGGGCCCAGCCGUCCCUUCCAAACCCUGGAGCUUUCACACA
ensembl:snoRNA SNORA71 Small nucleolar RNA SNORA71